UUUUGGACAAUGGGGGCAACCCUGAUCCAGCAAUGCCGCGUGAGUGAAGAAGGCCUUCGGGUUGUAAAGCUCUUUUGUCAGGGAAGAAACACCGGCUCUAACACAGUCCGGGAAUGACGGUACCUGAAGAAUAAGCACCGGCUAACUACGUGCCAGCAGCCGCGGUAAUACGUAGGGUGCGAGCGUUAAUCGGAAUUACUGGGCGUAAAGCGUGCGCAGGCGGUUAUACAAGACAGGCGUGAAAUCCCCGGGCUUAACCUGGGAAUGGCGCCUGUGACUGUAUAGCUAGAGUGUGUCAGAGGGGGGUAGAAUUCCACGUGUAGCAGUGAAAUGCGUAGAUAUGUGGAGGAAUACCAAUGGCGAAGGCAGCCCCCUGGGAUAACACUGACGCUCAUGCACGAA
rnacentral:rRNA from 1 species